AACGUAGGUGGCGAGCGUUAUCCGGAUUCACUGGGCGUAAAGGGCACGCAGGCGGCUCGGCAGGUAGGGCAUGAAAUCUCCCGGCUUAACUGGGAGAGGCUGUCCUAAACCGCUGGGCUUGAGGGCGGGAGAGGGAAGUGGAAUUGCCGGUGUAGUGGUGAAAUGCGUAGAGAUCGGCAGGAACACCAGUGGCGAAGGCGACUUCCUGGUCCGCCCCUGACGCUCAUGUGCGAAAGCUAGGGUAGCGAACGGG
rnacentral:rRNA from 1 species